rnacentral:rRNA from 1 species
GAUGAACGCUAGCGGGAGGCUUAACACAUGCAAGUCGAGGGGCAGCAUAGGGUAGCAAUACUCUGAUGGCGACCGGCAAACGGGUGAGUAACGCGUAUGCAACCUACCCUGUACAGGGGGAUAACCCGGAGAAAUUCGGACUAAUAUCCCGUAAUAAUAUCCGGAGGCAUCUUUGGAUAUUUAAAGUUCCGACGGUACGGGAUGGGCAUGCGUAACAUUAGCUAGUUGGUAAGGUAACGGCUUACCAAGGCUUUGAUGUUUAGGGGUCCUGAGAGGGUGGUCCCCCACACUGGUACUGAGACACGGACCAGACUCCUACGGGAGGCAGCAGUGAGGAAUAUUGGUCAAUGGGCGCAAGCCUGAACCAGCCAUCCCGCGUGCAGGAAGACGGCGCUAUGCGUUGUAAACUGCUUUUCCAGGGAGAGAAACUUGCGCACGUGUUGCGCAAUUGACGGUACCCUGGGAAUAAGCAUCGGCUAACUCCGUG